AACGCCCAAUAUGCAGGAUACACAAACAAGGAACCUCCUCAUGACUUAACCUGGCAGCUCUACAAAAGAACAAGCAAGAACCACAAAGAAAAAAAACAGACAGAACACAAGGAGCAGAACUAAUGGUCUCAUAAUGGCUAUAUUCAGGCUUACAAAUGUUAAGGUACCUUCAAAGGAGGCUAGAUGGAUUUCAGGAGGCCAAUAAAUGUUGCACAGAGCCACCCCUGAAAAGCAUGUGAAACGUGGACAGAAGACAAGCAUAUUUGGAAUGGGGUGAUUAUUCUGAGUUUCCUGUCUUACACUCCCUGAUCUCUUUUCUGGAAUAUAUAGUCAUCUGAAACUUUAGAGCUGCAAUAGGACGUCCUCCAUAUUUCUCAGACUCAUAUUGCAUGACUUGCUUUGAAAAAGAAAAAAUCCACAGAAUAAUCAACAUAAUGCUUUUGCUGUAAGGUUUGUCUCUGACAGGGAUAGGAGCAAAGUAUGCCUGCCUUAGUAUGUUCCAUAGAAUGCAAAGACACAGAAGCAGACCUGAAGUUCAC